rnacentral:rRNA from 1 species
CGCGCAGGCGGUUUUGUAAGUCAGAUGUGAAAGCCCGGGGCUCAACCCCGGAAGUGCAUUUGAAACUAUAGGGCUUGAGUAUGGGAGAGGGAAGUGGAAUUCCUGGUGUAGAGGUGAGAUUCGUAGAUAUCAGGAGGAACACCGGUGGCGAAGGCGACUUCCUGGACCAAUACUGACGCUGAGGCGCGAAGGCGUGGGGAGCAAACA